rnacentral:misc_RNA from 1 species
CGCUUUUAUUUUUUCUCUCUCUCACUGAGCUCUCUGGCUCAACAAACCAUAUCCCUUGCGCAAGGCUCGUUUCCCACCAGCCCAUGGACGAGUGGAUCUUUUGAUUAUUGCUUAUCUGAUUCUUUCAUUUUCUCAGGGAGCUACAGCUAUAAUAGGACGGUCCUAGAGUAUUUAUGGAAACCAUCGAUUGCUAACAUUCAAUCAUUCCUGGAGAGUGAACAAUUACGGAUAUGCCCAAUAUGGAAUCUCAAGAUUCAACUGUUUCGCGAGGUGAAGAAAUCAAAGUCCUGGCUAAUGAAGCUUUUAAAGCCCAUAAGUAUUCUCAGGCUAUUGAUCUAUAUACUCAAGCGAUUGAAUUAAAUGGUAAGAAUGCUGUUUACUGGGCUAAUCGUGCAUUAGCGCAUACUAAAUUGGAGGAGUAUGGCAGUGCAAUACAGGAUGCUUCAAAGGCUAU